rnacentral:rRNA from 1 species
UUUAAUUUUCUCGAUUUAGAAUGGGCUAUAAAGUUAUAUAUUUUAUUGUAAAAAAAAUAUUUUUAAUAAUUUUAUUGAAAUGAAAUGUUAUUCGUAUUUUAUUAUAUCUAGUUUUUUAAGAAAUAAAUUUAAUUUAAAAAAUUUAAUAUAAUUAAAUGAUUUAUUAUUUGAUUUUUUAGAUUUUUAAAUAUUUUUAGGGAUAAGCUUAAAAAUAGAUGGUUAAAAUUUAAUUUAUUGAGUAUAAAGUAGGAUUAGAAAUUUUUAUCUUUAAAAAGAUUGUUGUAAUAAAAUAUUUAAUUAAGUUAAUUUUUAUAAAUUUUAAAGAUUUAUUAGAAUGGGAAAUUUAAUUUUUAGGUUUUUGAAAUUAUGGUAAAAUUAGUAUUUAUUGUUUAUUUAAUUUUUUUAAAAUUGAGGUUUUAUAAAGGAAUUCGGCAAAAUUUAUUCUUGCCUGUUUAUUAAAAACAUGGUUUUUUGAAAAUAUUUUAAGAUUUGACCUGCUCAAUGAUUUUAUUAAAUAGCUGCAGUAUCUUGACUGUACAAAGGUAGCAUAAUCAUUAGUUAUUUGAUUGUUAACUGGAAUGAAGGGUUGGACAAAGGAUUAACUGUCUCUAUGAAAUUUUAAAGAAUUUUAUUUUUAAGUAAGAAAGCUUAAAUUUUUUUAAAAGACGAGAAGACCCUAUAGAGUUUUAUAUAGUAAAAUUAUUUUUUUAUUAGUAUUUUUUAUUGAGUAAUUUAAUUAUAUUUUAUUGGGGCGAUAGGAAAAUUUAGUAAACUUUUUUAUUUAUUUGUUCAUUAAUGGAUGAAUUAAUGAUUCAUAUUUUAUGAUUAUUAGAUUAAAUUACCUUAGGGAUAACAGCGUAAUUUUUUUAAAAGUUCUUAUUGAAUUAGAAGAUUGCGACCUCGAUGUUGGAUUAAAAUUUAUGUUAGGUGAAGAAGUUUAACUAUUUGGUCUGUUCGU